CUCCCUCGUCAUCCUAUCUCUCAAGUGAAGAAUGGACGCACCGCGAGCAAUUUCGACGAUCAAGAGGUUCCCAGUCUUAGGUUCGAUCAGGAGAACGGACACAUCCCCUUUGCCAAUCCUCAGGAAACCCAAUUUUCAAGCCAAGGAAGAAGGAUUAUCUAUUUAGCUUGAAGACCUGUUUUUUUAUUGGUGUCGAGAAUGUUAAUGUCAGUUCGAUUUAGCUUUUAGUCUUAUUGGAGACUUUCUUGUGUAAUUUGAGAUUUGUUGAAUAUUUUCAUGCCGCUGGAUGUUUUUAUAAAUACAUGCUUGGUAUCUGAAAGUAUUAUCUAUCUCUUAUUUUCAGAGGCUUACAUCGAAGGUCAGUGAUCGGCUUGUUUUUAACAUGAUUGCAUUGAAUGAAGAUCCAAUGGAUUAAGAAAA